GCCUUGACGCGCCAACGGUCGUGUUAGCCAUCUGGCAGUUAACCUAAUCCUUAUUCUCGCAGAGAGGUUGGUCAUCCUCCCUGCUGCCGUGAAUUUCUAUGUCCGGGUUUUGGGCUGCCAAUCGUACCCAUGCCGUGCAAGUAUCGCUAUGCCUCGUGUCAUCCGUCGGGACUUACGUCGACUUCUGUGUAUCACCCGAGCUACGGCGUGACUACAGGCCCGGCCGCCGCGUAGCAGGAGUUGUUCCCGAGCUCGGGUAGGGUGGAACCUUGCCUGUGCUUCUCCCGAGCUCAAGCUAGCUGUGUAGUAUUGCUUCUGCAAUGUUAGUCAGUUAAGGAGGAAUAGCCCCUGUGGAGGGAUAAUGACCCUCCGACUACAUCUCCUGCCUUCUUGAGGUGGGACAUUUUGUUCGUAUGUUUCGUUCCCUUAUAUAAGGAGUUAAGAGAGAUUGAUUUGUAUAUUUUGCAAUGGGAAUCCAACUUCAUACCUUGGUUUAUCAUUGCUUUUGUAAUAAUAAAACCAGAAAAUUC
rnacentral:lncRNA from 1 species